UCUGAAAAUGGAAAAUGUUAAAAAGUAAUUCUCGCGUAUUUAACCUUGUAUAAUUUAAGCUUUAUUUGAGAUUGCGGAGAGAUUACAUUACAUGCGAUGAAAAAGUACAAUAGAAAAAUCGUACGUAAUAUUGUGUUUCGCAUAUCGCGAUGAGUCAGUUACGGUAUACUUUCUAUGGCCCCAACGAAAAAUGUAGAAGUAUAUCUCCAUAUGAUUUUAUUUCAACUUUAUUUUGGGGCCGUUUGGUUGCAUGUAGUUGCAACUACAUUGCAGUUGUAACUGUAUGUAAAUGCAAAUUUCGUGUUUGCUUUGAUGUAUUUAACUCCAACUGCUGCAGUAGGAACUGCAGGAGGAGGUCCAACUGCAGCAAUUCGAAUUACGCCCAAAUUCGCCGCAGUUCCAACUGCAACAGUUGGAGAGAGUAAUUUUAAAUAAAAUGCAUGCUUACCUCCUCAAUAUUUUUUAAACAAAAAUUAUUUUUCUUUUUUACAUUGAAGGUAAUCUCACCAUCAUAUAUAUAAAAUAAUAAAAUUUUUUAAAAUUAUUUCUCAACUGCAUGCAACCAAACAAAUUAUUUAUACUUGAAGCGCUUUCUACUACAUCCAACCAAACAAGAUUCAUAUAGUUAUAACUGCUGUAUUUCUAACUGCAUUCAUUUUUAACUACACUGCAUUUAUAAUUACAUCUAAUAAAACGCCACCUUUAUUUAAUAGCAUCCAAUAGGUCUGAAUACAAAACUAAACCGGGUUUA
rnacentral:lncRNA from 1 species